rnacentral:rRNA from 1 species
GGAUCAUUACACAAUAAAAUAUGAAGGCUGUACGCGGCUGUGCUCUCGGGCCAGUUUUGCGGAGGCUGAAUUAUUUAUUACCCUUGUCUUUUGCGCACUUGUUGUUUCCUGGGCGGGUUCGCCCGCCACCAGGACCACAUCAUAAACCUUUUUUUAUGCAGUUGCAAUCAGCGUCAGUAUAACAAAUGUAAAUCAUUUACAACUUUCAACAACGGAUCUCUUGGUUCUGGCAUCGAUGAAGAACGCAGCGAAAUGCGAUACGUAGUGUGAAUUGCAGAAUUCAGUGAAUCAUCGAAUCUUUGAACGCACAUUGCGCCCUUUGGUAUUCCAAAGGGCAUGCCUGUUCGAGCGUCAUUUGUACCCUCAAGCUUUGCUUGGUGUUGGGCGUUUUUUUUGUCUUUGGUUGCCAAAGACUCGCCUUAAAAGGAUUGGCAGCCGGCCUACUGGUUUCGCAGCGCAGCACAUUUUUGCGCUUGCAAUCAGCAAAAGAGGACGGCAAUCCAUCAAGACUCCUUCUCACGUUUGAACCUCGGAUCAGGUAGGGAUACCCGCUGAACUUAAGC